rnacentral:tRNA from 1 species
GGUCCCUUCGUCUAGUGGUUAGGACGCGAGAUUUUCAUUCUCGAAACAGGGGUUCGAUUCCCCUAGGGACUGCCA